rnacentral:lncRNA from 1 species
AGAUUGAGAGAGAGAUAAGUGAGAAAGGAGAGAGGUUAACGGAGAUAUUUAAGGAGGGAGUUAUGAAAGAGAAAUUAAUUGUUUGUUAUUAUAGUGGGAUAAUUAUAUGUUCCAUAAUAGGAGAGAAAAACAUGGGAGGGGGGAAAAAUGUGAGAAAUAGAAAGAGUAAAUUAAAUAGAGAGAGAGGAGAUAAAAGUGGGAGGUAGAGAGUAAAUUAAAUUUUCAUACAGGAGAAAGAGAUCACACUAACAAAAUAACACCAUACUAAAAACAAUAGUUACUUAUGUUUAUGUUUUUCAUACAGGUAGGAGAGAAAAGAAACAAGGAGGUGAGAUAGGGCAAGAAGGAGUUGCAGAUGUAUGUUAUGGAAAAAGUUUAUAUAAGGAUGUAACCUUACAAUGUAGAACUACAGAGGCACCUCAAAAAUCCAUCGGAAGAAAUAGUUUUAAUAUUGAAAAACACUUUGAUUGAUCAUCUCAACAUCGAGAUGUAUGACCAUGAAAAAUAAAAAGAUUUUAAGUCUAAAAAAUAGUGCAUUUUACAACACAUUAUCUACACCAUUUAUUUUCAAGAUUUUCAUAUGUUUAUAGAUCUACUUGAUUUUAAUUAUUUUUAAAUUGAAAAUUUUAUAAUUAGGUAUAAAAAUAAAUUUUGAGAUAAUCUUAAGAACAAUUUACAUUAAAAUUAUAUACAUGACAAAAUUUGAAGGUGCAUCUUACCUCUACAGCUACAGAUGCAUCCAUAUGACAAUUGUAUCUCUAUGUUAUUCAUGUAUGUAGGAGAGAGAAAACAACAAACAGCUACAGAUGCAUUCCUAUGCCAACUGCACCCCUAUGUUAUUCAUGUAUGUAAGAUAUGGAAAUUAUAUUAAUUGCAUAUUUGGAGAGAGAAAAGUAGAAGGGGAGAUAAAAGUAGGAGGUAAACACAUACACUUAAUAUGUAAUAGAUAAUAAUCAUUAGUAAGUAACAUACACUUGUGUUGUAUAUCAUAUUUAAUACUAAACAUUGAUAUAUAUAUUUAUCAU